ACGCUGGCGGCAGGCCUAACACAUGCAAGUCGAGCGGUAGAGAGAAGCUUGCUUCUCUUGAGAGCGGCGGACGGGUGAGUAAUGCCUAGGAAUCUGCCUGGUAGUGGGGGAUAACGUCCGGAAACGGGCGCUAAUACCGCAUACGUCCUACGGGAGAAAGCAGGGGACCUUCGGGCCUUGCGCUAUCAGAUGAGCCUAGGUCGGAUUAGCUAGUUGGUGGGGUAAUGGCUCACCAAGGCGACGAUCCGUAACUGGUCUGAGAGGAUGAUCAGUCACACUGGAACUGAGACACGGUCCAGACUCCUACGGGAGGCAGCAGUGGGGAAUAUUGGACAAUGGGCGAAAGCCUGAUCCAGCCAUGCCGCGUGUGUGAAGAAGGUCUUCGGAUUGUAAAGCACUUUAAGUUGGGAGGAAGGGCAGUUACCUAAUACGUGAUUGUUUUGACGUUACCGACAGAAUAAGCACCGGCUAACUCUGUGCCAGCAGCCGCGGUAAUACAGAGGGUGCAAGCGUUAAUCGGAAUUACUGGGCGUAAAGCGCGCGUAGGUGGUUCGUUAAGUUGGAUGUGAAAUCCCCGGGCUCAACCUGGGAACUGCAUUCAAAACUGACGAGCUAGAGUAUGGUAGAGGGUGGUGGAAUUUCCUGUGUAGCGGUGAAAUGCGUAGAUAUAGGAAGGAACACCAGUGGCGAAGGCGACCACCUGGACUGAUACUGACACCGAGGUGCGAAAGCGUGGGGAGCAAAC
rnacentral:rRNA from 1 species